UAGCAUGGCUAUAUCUUCCAAUAGAAUCAGAGAGAUAUGGAAGAGGCCUCAAGGGCCAUAAAAUCCAACCCUCUGCCAAGCUCUCAAUGCCACUCUUCUUAAAUUCUCUACAGACAAUGCACUCCCUUAUUGGCUGCAUCUGGUGUGAACCACUCCCACUACUCCACUCUUGAAAUGCCAUUGUCAAUAGGAUCGUGGCCUAAGAUACUCUGGGGAAGCUACUGCUGAAUGCAGCUGAAGUAGUGCUUAAAUCUGGGCAUGCUGCAAUAUGCAAGAUGGCAUACAUAAGGAAAUGACUGGAGAAACUGGGCCUGUUUCACUUGAAGCUCGUGGACUUUUGUGCAAAUCUAAGUGGCUCACACAAUGGCUACACCAGUCCCACCAUUAUUCAUCUAAUUUGAGAUUAAGCAGGAACGAUGCAUACUCCAAUUCGCAUUUUUGGUGUGAACAAUCCAGACGACUCUGGCCCGUUCAGCACCGAAUCCCCUCUACAACAUUCUUAAAAUGUAUUUUUAAAAGCUACCUUUUGCUCCGGAUCUUCCCUCUGUUGUGAUGUCAAGCAGCUGGUUACAAUGCAUCCCACUGUGCUUCCCAGCGCAGCCACACAUCGCUCCCUCAGAAUGAGGGCAGAAUGAAACUGGGCAUUUUAUUUUUGGGCUCAGAAGGAGUGACACAUGGCAGCACUUGGUAUCGCAAUGGAGGGCCCCAGGUAAUGGGGCGCUGGGGCCACUCCAUGGCUAGAAUACUCUGCACUGGUCCAGGAGAUUUCUGGCCCAUGUGGAUCUGGCCUAAGACUCUGGAGAUCAUGAUUCGAUUCCUUGUUUGGUCACAAAAAUACAUUAAGUGAUCUUGGUGAGUCACAUACUCUUAACCCCAGAAAACCCCAUGAUAGGUUCAUCUUAGGAUCACCAGAAACAACUUGAAGGAAAACAACAAUUAUUAUACAAGGCGUGGAUACAAUAGGCAGGAAGUUUUUUAUCCCCCUCUCUGGAAUUCAGGGUCAUUCACUGAAAUUUUAAGAGAUUUGGAACCCAUAAAAUACUUCUUCACACACUGUAUAGUUAAAUUGUGGUUUUAACUUUCACAAGAGGUAGUGAUAGUCUGCAUCUUGAAUGCCUUUAACAGAGGACUAGACAAAUUAAAGAAACACAAGGCUAUCUGUGAGGGAUAUCUUUUCUCUCCAGUGUGAGGAGCAGUAUGCCUUUUAUUUCAGUUGCUGGGGAUCAUGAGGAACAGAGCAGGGUUGUGUCCCCUUUGCAUGCUUCCCACAGGCAACUGGCUGGCUGAACGAAAAAUACUAGACUAGCUAGAUCAGUGGUUCCCAACCUGUGGGUCAGGACCCCUUUGGGGGUCGAAUGACCCUUUCAUGAGGGUCGCCUAAGACCACUGGAAAACACCUAUUUAAUUACAGUUAUGAAGUAGCAAUGAAAAUAAUUUCAUGGGUUUGGGUCACCACAACAUGAGGAACUGUAUUAAAGGGUCACGGCAUUAGGAAGGUUGGGAACCACUGAGCUAGAUUGAUCAUGCAAUUCAGAGUCACUCUUUUGAUGUUCUUAUGAUAGAUGAUAAACAGCUUAUUAUCAAAAGAGUGAUCAUUCAGUAUAACCCUUUACAGCAUAAAUAUCCCUGCUGGUCAGUCACAGUGGCAUUACUAAUAGUAUGCUUGGUUUCUGUUGCUACUGUGGUCCCACAGCAUUUCACAGCACCCUGGCUUGAAGACAAUUAUUGUGUAUGCUUGCUAUAUUUGCAUUCUCUUGCAUAGUCAGUAAUCAGACUGUGCCAUUGCUAUGUAUGGUUGCUAUUAUGCUAUUAGGAAGACUCAGUGCAUGAUGGUUGCUGAUUGUUUUGUUGUGGUUACACUUGCUAUUAAAGAACGGCCACUG